rnacentral:rRNA from 1 species
UCCUACGGGAGGCAGCAGCAACGAAUAUUCCGCAAUGGGCGAAAGCCUGACGGAGCAAUGCCGCGUGUGGGAUGAAUCGGCUACGCCGUGUAAACCACUGUCAGGGUGCAGGAACACUGACCGCACCCAGAGGAAGGGCCGGCUAACCUCGUGCCAGCAGCCGCGGUAAUACGAGGGGCCCGAGCGUUACUCGGAAUCACUGGGCUUAAAGCGUACGCAGGCGGACUGGUAGGCAUUUUGUGAAAACCCACGGCUCAACCGUGGAACAGCAGAGUGAACCACCAGUCUUGAGGCAGGUAGGGGUCGAUGGAACCAUGAGUGGAGCGGUGAAAUGCGUAGAUAUUCAUGGGAACGCCAAUGGCGAAGGCAGUCGACUGGGCCUGUCCUGACGCUCAGGUACGAAAGCGUGGGGAGCAAACAGGAUUAGAUACCCUGGUAGUCCACGCCGUAAACGAUGUGCACUAGAUCGGGGAGGCUCUCACNCCCUCCCGGUCGANNGAAAACCGUUNNGNGNACCGCCUGGGGAGUACGGUCGCAAGGCUAAAACUCAAAUGAAUUGACGG